rnacentral:rRNA from 1 species
ACUCCUACGGGAGGCAGCAGUGGGGAAUAUUGCACAAUGGGGAAACCCUGAUGCAGCCAUGCCGCGUGUGUGAAGAAGGCCUUCGGUUGUAAAGCACUUCAGUAGGGAGGAAGGUAGUGUAGUUAACACCUGCAUUAUUUGACGUUACCUACAGAAGAAGCACCGGCUAACUCCGUGCCAGCAGCCGCGGUAAUACGGAGGGUGCGAGCGUUAAUCGGAAUUACUGGGCGUAAAGCGCAUGCAGGCGGCCUGUUAAGUCAGAUGUGAAAGCCCGGGGGCUUAACCUCGGAAUUGCAUUUGAAACUGGCAGGCUAGAGUCUUGUAGAGGGGGUAGAAUUUCAGGUGUAGCGGUGAAAUGCGUAGAGAUCUGAAGGAAUACCAGUGGCGAAGGCGGCCCCCUGGACAAAGACUGACGCUCAGAUGCGAAAGCGUGGGGAGCGAAACAGGAUUAGAUACCCUGGUAGACUGUCA